UACGUAGGGGGCAAGCGUUGUUCGGAAUUACUGGGCGUAAAGCGCGUGAAGGCGGUUUGGUAAGUCAGAUGUGAAAGCCCAGGGCUCAACUUGGGAACUGCAUUUGAUACUGCCAAACUAGAGUACGGAAGAGGUGACUGGAAUUCCCAGUGUAGCGGUGAAAUGCGUAGAUAUUGGGAGGAACACCAGAUGCGAAGGCGGGUCACUGGGCCGAUACUGACGCUCAAGCGCGAAAGCCAGGGGAGCGAACGGG
rnacentral:rRNA from 1 species